rnacentral:sRNA from 1 species
CAUGGUUUCCGUAGAACAAGUCUUGCAGGAAUGAUUCCUUCCGCAGUGUACACUUGUAGAAGCCUUUGCAGCCACGCAAGUGGUAGAUCUAGGCGACUUUAAACAAAUUCUAGGAUCGCUAUGCAAGUCGGCCCACGCAUGUGGUGCCGGCGACACUUUCGAAUUGACGGGGAUACCCUAAAGCCUGUCGCACCAACUCUGUGUGGGAAACCGCUGGAGGGCCCGUGCUAACUACACGGGAUGGUAACAGACGACACGGAUACCUCUACGCCUUUUUUGGUGUGGAUACCAUGGGCAAUCCGCAGCGAAGCCUCUAAGUCCGGCCGCCGGAUACGAGGAACGUUCACAGACUAAGUGGAAGUGGGUGGAGCGUUCGCCGCUCUGCUUAAGAUAUAGUCGGUCCCCUUGGGAAACUAAGGGGGUGAGUACACUGCUCGAAAUUUAAACUUGAGCGCGUCUCGGAUAGCGCUCGUGUUAGAAUUUCGGGACCGUCGAUUGCCUCGCGGUUCGAUGGCUCUUAAAAACGUUCCGUAGGUGAACCUGCGGAAGGAUCAUUACAGAAAGUAAACGCGGAUCACACCGCGAACUUCUAAACCUUUGACGAUUGACUCAUGUUGCCUCGGCGGGUUCUCCCGCCAGAGGAUACAUCAAAACUCCUGUUUUAACGGUGUUGUCUGAGCUACAAGCAACGAAUCAAAACUUUCAACAACGGAUCUCUUGGUUCUGGCAUCGAUGAAGAACGCAGCGAAAUGCGAUAAGUAGUGUGAAUUGCAGAAUUCAGUGAAUCAUCGAAUCUUUGAACGCACAUUGCGCCCCUUGGUAUCCCGAGGGGCAUGCCUGUUCGAGCGUCAUUUCACCACUCAAGCCUGGCUUGGUGUUGGGCGACGUCCCCUUCAGGGACGCGCCUCGAAACGCUCGGCGGCGUGGCACCGGCUUUAAGCGUAGCAGAAUCUUUCGCUUCAAAAGUCGGGGCCCCGUCUGCCGGAAGA